CUCUCUGGGUUGGUUUCUGCUGCAGUGUGAGCAAGUAGUUUAGUUUUCCCUGUGAGUGAGGAGCUGACUUAAGCGCUGUGUUCAGUUAGCAGUUCUCCCCAGGAGCUAAAACUUGUACAAAAAAUACAGAGGAGUUCAGCAGUCCUUCUUCCUCUCAUUUACAAAUUGGAAAAUUAACCGACUCUUCGGCAGAUGAUUUCAAAUAUUUCAAUAAGACAACUAGGUUAUACGGAAAUAUACUUGAGCGCUUAACACCCCUGGUGAUCCGAAUCUGACUUUAUUUAGUUGACCUGGAGUUAAUGGAGUAUCAGAAGUUGUCUGACAACUGUUUCUUUAUUCAAAAUGGCCUUUUGCUGUCCUUUCAAGAGCGUCCAAUAUGUUAAAAAAAUUAUGCGUAAAGGGAGAGAGUCAGCAUCAAAGAAUUUUUCUUGUCUUCAUAGACCUACUAGUUACAGCUAUACUUGGACAUAGUACAUUAGAUUUUAUUCAUUUGUAGUUCCAUAUCUUAUCCCAAUGUCGUAGUCAAUUAUUAAUAACAAAAUAUUUGAAAGCAUCAACAGUGUUUUCUCAAGUUGCCUGACUGGUCUUGGAAGGUGGUCUUCGGUUUCUGAGAAGUUGGAAUUACAGGUGUGUACCACCUGGAUACAUACUGUGUAUACAAAACCAGCUAACCUCACUUCCGGGACACAGAAUACAAAUUGUCUUCUCAUCUACCUGGAACGCAGCUAUUCUGACAAUUCCCUUUUCUGGAAACAUUGAGUUUAAAGAACAAAUCCCCCAGCACUCAAAAUACACCAAAGAGGCUACAUAUUUAUUGUACUUAAAAGAGCCACCUCUCUGAAUUUUUGAUUUUUGAUAGUUUCACUGUCCAGGCUGGCCUUCCAACUCUCAAUCUACUUCUCUCUUGCCUUAGCCUCCCAAGUGCUGGGAUUACAAGCAAGUGCUAUUACAUCUAGCUUGUGCAUUUUAAAAGAUGCUUUGAAUCUAGGGAAUUGUAAGACAUGAUACUGACAAGCCCUCUAAGAGGUCUUUGCCCAGUUCCUUUGCCUUAUGAAGUCUUGCAGGAACUGACAUGUCUCCUUAUUGAGAUUUCACCAGUUUAUAGAAUCUCAUUUAUGUACUUGUUUCUAAACAACACAUUCAGUUUCGUAUGAGGACCAACAGUCGAGACAGUGAACAGUUCCACCACAGAGAUCCCUCCUGAGUCCACCAACUGUCACAGCCAGGGGCCCACUUUAACCCCUGCAACUGUCUAUCCAUUCUAACAUAUAAAUGGAAUCAUACAAUGGAAUCGUUGAGAUUAGCUUUCUUUAUUCAGUACAAUUCUCUGAGAAUGAGAUGCAUUCUAGAAUGUUCCUUUCUGAACUCAGUUUUUUCUUCACAUGGAAUCGUUACAAAUGCAGUUAUUAGUUCUCCAAACUCACUUGACUCACCAAGAAGUGACAGAAAGAAGGGACACCAAACAAGGUUCAUGACUGAGUCACUACCAAGACUUAAAAGAUAGCAUUUCAGACCUGCACCAGACCAUGCCACUUGCAACGUGCAUGGUUUUACAUUUUAAACCAGAGCUUCUCGACUGAUAUCAAGGUCUUAUGUAGCUUCACCGAUUCUUAUAAAGUGUAUUUUGAAGACUUUUUACCCUAGCAUGUAACCGCAUCAUUUUGAAUGCUUUCCAAAUCACAAAUUACUUCAACAUAAAAACUUUGUAUAUCAAGAAUUAUGAAAGUGUACAAGUUGAGGACUAAGGAGACGUGCUCCAAGUGGCUUAAUGGUCAAACACUAAGAGCUUAGAACAGUUCUGACAUCUCGUUUUCUUUUAGUCUGUGCCAGCUAUUUAGAGCUACAUGUGAAGAUGUCUGGAUUACAGAUGACAUCUUUGUUACAGGACAUGGGGAAUCUUACUGUUCAGCUGCCCAGCAGACUAAAUGGAGUAACUGAGUGCAGCGGACUACACAGAAAGGGGAUAGCAUCCAACUCGGUAAGGUCCUUCAAGUGGAAACUUGUAUGAGGUACACAUCCUUCACUUGUUAGCAGGCAGCCAGACCUUGUCCACUCUGUUCCACUGUCCUUACUCAAUUGACCUUGGGUCUCUCACUGAAACUGGAUAUGGACCAGCAGCCGGCAAGCAGCAGCAAGCCUUUUAUCCUGUAGAGCUAGUUUAAUUGCACAGCAAUUGGCUUUUUCUUUCUCCUACCUUACCACACAAGGUUUCUUUGUGUAGCUCUGGCAGGCCUCAAACUCAGAGAUCCACUUGUCCCUGCCUCCCCAGUGCUGGGAUUGAAGACAUGCACCCCCACAAUCAGGGUUAGCAAGUGUUUAAUGAAGUCAUUUUUUUUCUAGUUCCAAGGUGGGGAGAAAUUUUAAAAUCAGUGUUUUAAGACUGAAACCACAUACAUAUUGGGGGAAAAAACCUACUAAAACUGUCCUUAGAAUUAAGUUCAGUCAUUUUUUAAAUCUUUGAGUUCAAGCUUGUACUUAGAAAACAGAUAAAAAGCACACAAUUUUUAUCUUUUAACAACAAAGUGAGAAAGGCAGAGGACGAAGCACAAGAUACAAAUUAGUAACUUUAGUCUUCCGCCCUAGAUCACACACUGUAAAAAAUAAGGAAAUUAGGAAGUUUUAGUGUUUUACAUGUACCUGAUGCAACUCCAUACACAGCCACAUGGGACUGCAGCCUGUUUUCAAGCUUAAUAGACAGUGCUCUGAGAUUAUUUCCAGUACACACUGACAUCACACGCACACGCACACACGGCCAGAGACUGUUUAUAAAGCUGAUAGGGUUUUGUGUUUCUUUCAUUUUCCCUUCAAGAAGUUAUUAUAAAAGGAUCUCAGCAACUGAGACUUUAAGUUUUAAAAAAUUUGUUUUAAAGAUCAUGAAUUUUGAAUUUAUGUGACACAAAUUCUCUAACCAUAAUAUUUCUCCAAAGGGAUUCUCUAAAAUAGGGUUAAGUGAAUUGCCUAAAGCCAAAAGCAGCUGACUAGAAUUAGGUGUAAAAUCUGGGUUACUAUCCAUAAAGAAAGAACUCUCUAGAAAGGGUGUUACACUGGGAAAAUUCCUCCAGGCUUCAACACAAUAAAAAUUUGACUCUAAAAAGAACUUUCUUUAAUUUCAUUUUUCAUGGCUUAAGAACUGUUUUGCUAUACCCAAGUACAUGGCUCAGGAAAACAGAUGGCAAUCUCCCAACUUGGAGUAGGGUAAAAAGGUUUGAGAUUAAAAUGUCUCUUCUGUUAAUUUUGCUGAGUUUUUCAUAGGCCAGGGUCAUAACUGUUAUCUGUGGAUGCAAAACUGCUCAUUUUAAUAACAAGCUGGGGGGGGGGUGUCGUAGAGUAACUGAACCCAAGGGUGAGCACUGAUUAGGCACAGACCACAACCUCGGAUGCGGCUCCAGCCCAACGUCACCACUUGUGUUUGCAGGUGGUGAGGUUUUACUGCUUACACAAGGCCUCAUGCUCCCAGGCUGGCUUCAAACAUUGUCUGAAGCAGAGCAUGGCCGUAACUCCUGAUCCUCCUGCCUCAACUGGGAUUAAGGCCUGUACCCCCAAGCCUGGCUUGCUGUCUUCAGAAUAAAUCCCAGGUAUGCAUUGUGGAAUUUGUAUUCUGAGACCAUCUGCAUGAAUUUGCAAAAUAGCCAGUCCACGCAAGCAAAUGAAAUUGUUUAAAGUUGUGUUGUUAAGAGGCAUUUUUCUGUAUCACUAAAAAAAUAUAACUGACAGAUAUGACAAGUGACCAUUGUAAUAUUAGCUUCCAUCUACAGUCGAAACUACUUAAAAACAAAAACUUGACACAGGUGGUGAAACAAUUUUAUUUCACAGUUGUCUUUAAAACUGCAAAGACACUUAUUUUCUUCAUAUAAAAACAUUGAUAUAGAUACCUAUACGUCCUAGAAAAUGAUUAUGUAGACCCUUUCAAAGAAAAUGCACCCCAUUAUAUGGUUUCUGUGAAGCUGCUU
rnacentral:sRNA from 1 species